UUGGAGGAGAUAGCAGUAAAAAUGAAGACACCAUUGACCACCAUACACAUGGGGUUGAUUGGGCUCAGAAUGUGGGAUGUUUGUUUGCACAUUUGGAAGAGCUUUGGAUGUUUGCAAGUUAAUCCACAAUCUGCCCAGGUUUAGAAGCUGGAAUUGUUGGGUUCUGCAGUCAUCAGUGCUUAGAACCACCAUUAUGCGUCAAUGUUGCUUGGAAGGUAGCUCCAAUUCUUUGUGGUUGGUUCUUUGAUGGCUCUGAGUUGAUGUUAGAAAUCAGAGAUUCAGAUCUGACUCAACAUAGCCUUCUUAAUCACCAGAGAAUUUUGAGAUCUAUGAGUCCUUGAGCAUCGAUUGAUCAUCUUCAAUAUUUCAUUUCAUCAUUUCUCAUCUAUGGAGAAGUCCGGUGGAUUCCAAAAGGCAUUUGUGAAGUUCCCUGGUAGAUUCUUAAGGCAG